rnacentral:antisense_RNA from 1 species
AGUCCUCACCUCCCACAUGCUUUUCAACACCCGCUCUCACAUCCCAUCUGGGGCCUCUGCUUGCAUCCUACCAUUUCGUAAGCCUGGCCAACUCAAGCUCCGUGUGCCGCACCUAGAGCAGCCCAUCUCUGUGUCAGCUUUCAUAAGGAGGAGUCAGAGAAGUAAUCUGGAGACACUAAGAGUCAAAGACAGGAAAAAUGGGCUUAAGCAGGAGGAAAAUUCCAGCAGGACAAAGAAACACAGGCUGGGAGGUGAACUGCUCAGUUGCCAGACUACCAACCUAAGCCCAGGACACUGCCAGACUGCUGAGUCAAAGGGGUUUAGCAGCCCAUUUUCAUAGACAGACAGGUGAGAGGAGGAUGCUGGACAUCGUCCCAGAGACAUGGGGACUCAAGAAACAUGAAGAUCUGUUCACAGCUGAGGGCACAUUUCCAUGCCGAGAAAUCAGGCAUGAGCGCAGGAGUCCUAUCGUCUACCAGAAAAAGAAAUCUUUGGGUAAUUUUUUUCUCUCUCUUAUCUCCGAGUUGGGUGGUGAACUGUGGAAACACUGUAUUGA